AGCCUUUUUCAAAUCCUAUAAAAGGGUGUUUGUUAGCCAAUUCUCUUCAAUGUGAAUCAGGCGCCAAACCAAUCAGCAAGGGUAAGCUCAAACAUUUCUUACAGGUUAUGAUGCAAGGCAAUGCAUGACAGUCUCUGGGUAUAAGAGCUUCUUGAUUGAAGAAAAUGGUAGCAGAGAAAGGACAAAAGAGCAACAAACGUAUUGCAUGUGAGGAAUGACCCACAAAUUCAGAGACAGGCUUUCAAACAUUAAUGUUGAAAUUUUGAACCGUUUUCGAGUAUGUUUUUGCUGUACGUUUCUGUCUUUAACCUUAAUUGGAUAAAGUGGAAGGGGUGGGAAGACAUUAACACACAUAUAUGAAUUGUUUCAAAUCAGUUGUCCCAUCCUCACCAGUUAAACAUAAAUUACAAAGGAUAAGAGGGAAUCUGUCUUCAUUUGUGUCAGCCAAUGUGGGGGACAUGAUCGUUUCUUUAUGGACAUUGGCAUUAGUUCUUUGUUGUGUUUGGAUUCACAAAUAAAAAUUGGGUUCCCUUAGCUAACCCUCUCACCAGUCUCUAAAACCCAGCUGCAGGUCUUUGAUUUCAAAGCAUAAAAUGUUUAUAAAGCAAUUGUAAUAUCAAAGAGCUACUAAUAAAAAAGUAGCAAUUAGAAAA